ACUCAAGUUAGUAAUAGUCUAUUUUUGUUUGACCACGUUACCAGCUAUGGUCCAUUACAAUAGAUCCCAAAGUAGUUCAUAAUACUGACUUAGUGAGGAAUAAAUGUUUGUGAUCAAGUAGUUUUAAUAAAUUCGUGAUCUUGUUUGUUUCGUUUUCCAGCACUCACGUGAAUCCAUCUUUUUACGAGGAUGAUUAUGAUAGAUGGAAGAAAGAAGAAGAUACAGAGAGAUUGUAUGACUCUCCCUGGCCUCAACAUCGAGGCUUGAAAGUUCAGAGUGAGACUGACAACUUUAAAUGGAGUCAGUCAAAUUUAAACAAUCUCGCUAAUACAGGAUUCCAGAAAAUUCCUCGAGGGUUUGUAUCACUAGAUCAAAUCUCGUUUUCAUCAGAAGAUUCAACUGGCCAGGAAUCGACUACGAAAUCGGUUGAUCCUUUGUACGCCGCAAAGUCGAGUUUCCAGUCACAAACAUUGCACGGCGUGAAACGUUACAGACGCAUGAAAUCCAAAGAAUUGACGACGAAUACACUGCCCAGUAAACUAGGCAGCAGCACAUUGGAGGACUCCAGCAUUGGAGUAACAAAUCUUUAAGAGAGAAACAAAAAACUGAAAUGUGUCAUGAGAAACUAUCUGUGUAUAAACUUCAAAUAUUUUUAUAAAAAUCCUAACAAAAUUUUAUGACAUGUAU
rnacentral:sRNA from 1 species